rnacentral:rRNA from 1 species
CAGCCGCCGCGGUAACCCCAGCGCCACAAGUGGGAACCACGCUUAUUGGGUCUAAAGCAUCCGUAGCCGGUUCUGCAAAUGCCCUGUGAAAUCGUUGCGCUUAACGUAACGGCGUGCAGGGUAGACUACAGAACUAGAGACCAGAGGAAGGAGACGGUAUUCCUGAGGGAGCGGUAAAAUGUGAUAAUCUCAGGAGGACCACCGAUGGCGAAGGCAGUCUACUAAUAUGGAUCCGACGGUGAGGGAUGAAAGCUAGGGGAGCGAUCCGGAUUAGAUACCCGAGUAGUCCUAGCCGUAAACGCUGCAUGCCAGAUGUUACACAAUCUUCGAGAUUGUGUAGUGUCGAAACGAAGGUGUUAAGCAUGCCACCUGGGAAGUACGGUCGCAAGGCUGAAACUUAAAGGAAUUGGCGGGGGAAAACAA